rnacentral:rRNA from 1 species
CCUACGGGUGGCUGCAGUGGGGAAUAUUGGGCAAUGGGCGCAAGCCUGACCCAGCAACGCCGCGUGAAGGAAGAAGGCUCUCGGGUUGUAAACUUCUUUUCUCAGGGACGAAGCAAGUGACGGUACCUGAGGAAUAAGCCACGGCUAACUACGUGCCAGCAGCCGCGGUAAUCCGUAGGUGGCAAGCGUUAUCCGGAUUUACUGGGUGUAAAGGGUGUGUAGGCGGGACUGCAAAGCAGUUGUGAAAACCACGGGCUCAACCUGUGGCCUGCAGUUGAAACUGUAGUUCUUGAGUACUGGAGAGGCAGACGGAAUGCCUAGUGUAGCGGUGAAAUGCGUAGAUAUUAGGAGGAACACCAGUGGCGAAGGCGGUCUGCUGGACAGCAACUGACGCUGAGGCGCGAAAGCGUGGGGAGCAAACAGGAUUAGAUACCCUUGUAGUC